GAUAUUCCGGAUUGGCAUGGGGAAAUGGGAAGGGAGACCAAAUAUUGAGGCUGGAAGAUGGAAAUUGAACUUGUAAAAAAACAUGGAAGCACCUGCUCCAGCUCAUUCCACUUCACUAUCACUUCUAUUUCACACACACACACACACACACAUGGAGAGAGAAUCAUCCAUAUUCCAGAUUUGCCCUUACGAUCGACCCCCUUUAUUCAUUAUUCCGUACGCCAUUCAUGCAUUGAGGCUUCUUUGAUUCGUGCUCCACUUCAAACGAAUUGCUUAUAAAUAUUAUUCCAAAUUCCGGUUUUAUCGAACACCAUCAAUUCCUUCAGGUCAAUCAAUUUUCGACGAUAAUCCGUUGUCAAUUUUCCCUCUUUUUUUGAAAUUAGGAAUUCUGUUUGGGGUUUUUUUUUUCUGAAACCCAAUUUGAUUCAUAUUCAUCCCUAAUUGGAGGAAGGUUUGGAAAAUUAGAGCUUGUUAUAUUCG
rnacentral:lncRNA from 1 species